rnacentral:rRNA from 1 species
GAAGCUAAUACCGGAUAUGACGUACGGAGGCAUCUCCUGUACGUGGAAAGAACUUCGGUCAAGGAUGGACUCGCGGCCUAUCAGGUAGUUGGUGAGGUAACGGCCCACCAAGCCUACGACGGGUAGCCGGCCUGAGAGGGUGACCGGCCACACUGGGACUGAGACACGGCCCAGACUCCUACGGGAGGCAGCAGUGGGGAAUAUUGCACAAUGGGCGCAAGCCUGAUGCAGCAACGCCGCGUGAGGGAUGACGGCCUUCGGGUUGUAAACCUCUUUUAGUAGGGAAGAAGCGAAAGUGACGGUACCUGCAGAAAAAGCACCGGCUAACUACGUGCCAGCAGCCGCGGUAAUACGUAGGGUGCGAGCGUUGUCCGGAAUUAUUGGGCGUAAAGAGCUCGUAGGCGGUCUGUCGCGUCUGCUGUGAAAACCCGAGGCUCAACCUCGGGCCUGCAGUGGGUACGGGCAGACUAGAGUGCGGUAGGGGAGAAUGGAAUUCCUGGUGUAGCGGUGGAAUGCGCAGAU